CCAAGAAUAAGUUAUUUACAUGCUAUUCCCAUAAGGGGCAACCUUGCAAUAAUGAAGAAAAGCAACUGUGAGUGUAGUAAAGCCUGACUCAGAUCAGUGGUGUCCCUUCCACAGGUGUAACUGAAUAUUGGUUUAGGUUUGGAAAGUAUGAAGUACUGUGGGGCAGAAGAUGCUGCACAUAUUUAUGUGGAGGUGAACCUGCCCAGAGAUAGUGAAGAGUGAAAUGAUUGCCUGGAGAACCCUAGUUCCUAAAAAUCCUGUAGUUUUAGAAAUGGAAAGGAUUCUACUAAUAUAAAGGAAUUUAAUACUACAUGACAGCUCUAUUGUGACAUUUACUCCUUGUAAAACCUUACCAAGCAUCUGCUUUUGACCCAGAUACACUAAAUCUAUAUUAAAUUCUAAACUCUUCCUAGUCUAUGUGAGAUGCCAAAACAUUUCCAUAACUGGUUCUACUUGUCUACAAGGUCUUUGUUCCACCAUCAGACACAUGGGAAUGUGUGCCCUUGCUAUUGCAGUUGUGUAGAUCCGUGCUGUCAUUUUCCCGUCAACCCUCCUAAUACUGUAAGCUGUAGAUUUUUUGGUGUAUUCUUUCCCUGGGCAGGUGUUCAGAAUGAGAAGAUGUCUUCUUCAGGACAGAGGACAAGCGUUGGCAGGUUUCCAGUUUCCAGGUGCUACAGGAAUCUUCAUCUGUUUAUAAUAUGAAUGUUAGAAGUCUGCUUUUAUACUCAUGUUCUUGGCAGUUAUGUAUUGUUUGCACCAUCAAACAUUGCAGAUUGUAAGCAUGUUUUGCACAUUAACAAUAAAGGUAGAAGUUAUA